rnacentral:rRNA from 1 species
UACGGAGAGGGCAAGCGUUGUUCGGAAUCACUGGGCAUAAAGCGCACGUAGGCGGGCCGGUAAGUCGGUUGUGAAAUCCCGGGGCUCAACUCCGGAACUGCUUCCGAAACUGCUGGUCUUGAGGACGAGAGGGGAGAGUGGAACUUCUGGUGGAGCGGUGAAAUGCGUAGAUAUCAGAAGGAACACCGGUGGCGAAAGCGACUCUCUGGCUCGUUUCUGACGCUAAGGUGCGAAAGCUAGGGGAGCAAACGGG